rnacentral:lncRNA from 1 species
CUCUUAUGGAUUUCGAUACUAAUUACAACUCAGUCCCACAUUUCUACUGGUCCCAUGGCUUGAUAUCAGAUUCUACUUACAAUCUUUUCUCUUCCAAGUGCAAUUAUUCUCGAAUGAACAGAGAGCAGACAUCUGGUUCUUUAUCACCUGCUUGUUUAGCUGUACGAAGCCAAUAUUCACAAGAAGUUGGUGACUCUGUUGACCGGUUUGAUGUCACUCUUAACUCCUGCUUACCAUCUGUUGAUCCACAACCGGUGAGGUUAACAUUAUCUCAAUAGUGCUCCACCAUUAAAAUACACUGCAAUUAAUUUCAUCACCAUGAUAAUUUACUUUUUUUAGUAGGAAUUUGCACAAUUUUGCUUUAGUUUGUACAUGACUUUGCUUUCGGCCUAUGCAGCAAGUCACAGAGAAUGUGGAUGUUUGUAUAGGAGACGAAGUAAACAAGUAUUUCAAUAGGGAAGAUGUGCAGAAGUCUCUCCAUGCUAGACUAGUUGGAGUCGCCAACUGGAGUAUGUGCAGCGGGUAAAAUUCAAUCUACAAUGGACCUCUACUACAUAACCAACUUUUUUUCUAGCAUCCAUAUUUGCUUUUUCUUUUUCUCUUACCUUUUGCUUUUUAAAAUUGCGAUUUCAUGGAUAUAAAUUGUUUUUUUUUUUAAUCUCCAUGUUACAGUGCUCUUAGAUACAAUAUAAAAGACAAAGAGAUAACCAUGAUUCCUGUCAUGGGCUCCCUUGUCAAGUCUGGUAUCCGGACCUUUGUUUACAGGUAAUGUUACAUGAUACAUAUGGGCGCUAUUUUUUUUCAUUAUGAUUCAAAAUAGUGAUAGUAAUACUUAAAAACCUCUACAGUGGAGAUCAAGAUUCAGUAAUCCCACUAUUUGGAACUCGGACUCUGGUGGAUGGAUUGGCGAAGGAGUUGAGACUGAAUACCACUGUGCCUUACAGAAAUUGGUUUGAGGGAGAACAGGUCGGCUUCUAUACAUGAAUAUGAGAUUAACUUCAUAAAUCACUUCAAGUUUCAACUGCUUAAUUAAAGAUCGGAUGAUUCAAAUCUCAUUCAUGAUGGUUUUUCUUCUGUUUUUCUAGGUUGGUGGAUGGACGCAAGUUUAUGGUGACAUCCUAUCCUUUGCCACCGUGAGAGGAGGGUCACAUACAGUGCCGGGUACACAACCAGCCAGAGCACUAGUUCUGUUCACUGCAUUUCUAAAAGGACAACCCCCACCAGCUGAAUGAACGGAUCAAAUUCACGGAUAAGAACUAUAGGUCAUUAUGUAUUACUAGAUAACAGAGGAUGUCUCUUCAUAUUGUGUUCAGAUAUUAAUGCAUUUCCUUUUAGAUUAGAUCAAUGCUCUUCACAUCCUCAUUUUCCAUGCAUUUAGCAGCAUCUCAGGUAUCAGAACGGCAAAUUUGCAUUUAAAAUCCUGUGAUUAUUGUAGAGGACUUCAGUUGGAACACUCGGAUUAGAAUUAGAAGCAGAAUUUUUUCGUAAAGAGAAGGAUAAACUGCUAACUAUAAGCCUAAACCAAACCAUAAAGCUUAUCAGCCCAUAACUAGCACUAUAUGGGGGAUCAAUAUUCCAAGCCUAAAAUUAAUGGCCCAUGCACAACACCUAAUAUCCUAACCAAACAACAGCCUUUUCUUUCCUAGCCCUAAAACCCUUGUUCUUCAAUCUCACGACCACUCUCUUGUUUUCACACCCUUGGAUCUCAACUUCGGGAGGAGACGAUGCAACAUGAAGCAAACCACGAUUUUAUGGCUUUAAGAAUAUGGUGGAAGAAAGCUCUGAUUGGCAGAGAAUAGCAGCACCGACUUGCACUCUUCUAGAGAUUUAGAAAUAGGUUGAAAUUUGAUACACUUCUUAAGAUGUAUUAUGUAAUUUUUUCAGAAAAAAAAAAAUCUUUGGUUGACUUUUUCGAAGAAAAAUUCAAAGCAUAUUAUAUAAUAAAAUGAAUAUUAUACUAAAGAACGAUAGAUUAAUUUGAUUGUUUAAGUUUCUCGAAUUAAUCAACAUUGGUGGUAUCUAUAAGAGAUCGAAGACACCAUCAUCCUAGCUACAUCACACGCCAAAGGUCUCCAUUCAGCUGUCUCUCUCUCUCCAGAGUCCAGAGACGUCUGUCUCAUCAAAGCCCUGAAAUCCCAGUCAUAGAUGGAAUGUUAUACUUAUUAUAAUAAUAGCCACAACAUGUACAACUCCGUUAUGCUCAACAAUGGAGACACUCUGCAAGCCCACGUCAGUUUUCAACAAUUUUCUGGAUAUGUAACCAUAGAUGGAAAGCAACACAGUGCUCUUUUCUAGUAAUUUGUUGAAGCAGAAAAUGACGUGGAGGCGGUUUCACCUUUUCUUCUUGUUAGUUGUUACGGGGAGGAAUAUUUUUUCUAUAUGAAUCUCUAUCAGUUUGUAUUAAAAAAUAGUGUGUUAGAAAGUUGUGUGACUUUGUUUUACGGCCAGCUUAUGAUUCAAAUAUGCAGAAAGCCACAGAGGAUGUAGAUGAUUGCUGCUUGCAUAUACAACAAAACAACGAAGUGACCAAGUGUUUUUAAGCAGGAAAGACGUGCUUAAAGCUUUCUGCAUUAACUAAAAAUAUAAUUUACUUUGAAUCUGUGACUAAAAAUGUUGUUUCAUAGUGAUUUUAUAAAAUAUUUUUAAUAUUUUUGAUAUUUGAAAAUUUUUGUUAUUUAAAUAUUAAAAAUGUUAAAAAUAUUUUUUAAAAUCAGUGUGCAAGUGUAACUCUAAUAAUUAUCACAAUUCAUGGGGAGAAUGGAGAUCAAGAUUCAAUUUUGUCCCACCAUUUGGGAGUCGGACUCAGGUGAGCGAAUUGGCCAAGGAAGCUUCAGGUGCGCGUCGAGCCUCGCUCCAGUGCGCGUCGCGGCGCGCUUCAGGUGCCCGUCGGGGCGCGCUUCAGGGUAAGCUUCAGGGUCAUGUCGAGGCGCGCUCAGGUGAGCGAAUUGGCCUAGGAACGCUUCAGGUGAGCGUCGAGCCUCGCUCCAGUGGGCGUCGCGGCGCGCUUCAGGUGAGCGUCGGGGCGCGCUUCAGGGUCGUGUUGAGGAGCGCUCAGGUGAGCGAAUUGGCCAAGGAAGCUUCAGGUGCGCGUCGAGCCUCGCUCCAGUGCGCGUCGUGGCGCGCUUCAGGUGCGCGUCGGGGCGCGCUUCAGGUCGCUUCGGGGUAAGCUUCAGGGUCUUGUCAAGGCGCGCUCAGGUGAGCGAAUUGGCAAGGAACGCUUCAGGAGCGCGUCGCUGUAAGCUUCAGGGUCGUGUCGAGGCGCGCUCAGGUGAGCGAAUUGGCCAAGAAACGCUUCAGGUGUGCGUCGAGCCUCGCUCCAGUGCGCGUCGCGGCGCGCUUCAGGUGAGCGUCGGGGCGCACUUCAGGGUCGUGUUGAGGAGCGCUCAGGUGAGCGAAUUGGCCAAGGAAGCUUCAGGUGCGCGUCGAGCCAUGCUCCAGUGCGCGUCGAGCCACGCUCCAGUGCGCGUCGAGGCGCGCUUCAGGUGCGCGUCGGGCCGGCUUCAGGUCGCUUCGGGGUAAGCUUCAGGGUCGUGUCGAGGCGCGCUCAGGUGAGCGAAUUGGCCUAGGAACGCUUCAGGUGCGCGUCGAGCCUCGCUCCAGUGCGCGUCGCGGCGCACUUCAGGGUCGUGUUGAGGAGCGCUCAGGUGAGCGAAUUGGCCAAGGAAGCUUCAGGUGCGCGUCGAGCCUCGCUCCAGUGCGCGUCGAGGCGCUCUUCAGGUGCGCGUCGGGGCGGCUUCAGGUCGCUUCGGGGUAAGCUUCAGGGUCGUGUUGAGGAGCGCUCAGGUGAGCGAAUUGGCCAAGGAAGCUUCAGGUGCGCGUCGCGGCGCGCUUCAGGUGCGCGUCGGGGCGCCCUUCAGGUCGCUUCGGGGUAAGCUUCAGGGUCGUGUCGAGGCGCGCUCAGGUGAGCGAAUUGGCUUCAGGUGCGCGUCGAGCCUCGCUCCAGUGCGCGUCGAGGCGCGCUUCAGGUGCGCGUCGGGGCGCGCUUCGGGGUCGUGUCAAGGCGCGCUUCGGGGUCGUGUCAAGGCGCGCUUCAGAGCGAGGCGGCUACCCCGAAAGGGAUACGCGUCAGGGUUCGAGAAUGGAUGAGGCACGCUUCCGGUGCCCGCUUUUCAGACCUGGAGGGUGGACGCGUCAGUCUGAAUGUGGUUGAACAAAAAAUGAAAUGGAUGCAAAGCAAAUUUUACAUUUGUUUUUUUAUAAGAACUAUACAUUUUAUGUAAAGGUUUUAUAUUUUAUGUAAAAUAUAGAAAGUAUAUCCACUUGUCACCUUAGUUUUUCUUCAUUAUAUUAGGUAAUAAAAAAUUUAUGCAAUUAAAUUAUUGAUUUUUUUCACUAGCAAAAAUGUUAUAUGAUUGAAUUAUUAUUAAUCUUUUUAAAAUAGUAAAAAAAUGAAAGUGCGAAACCAUUACUCUUUUUUGUUUAUUAUUAUUAUUUUUUAUUUUUUAUAUGUUUUAAUAUUUACUAAUUAUGAGAAUUAAAAUUUUAAAAGCUUAGGCCCAAUGUCAAAUUGGGAAGCUAAAAUAUUUACUCUAGACUUUUAACUUCAAAAAUUUUGUAAGGGAGAAAAGGUCAUCAUCCCUAUCUAAAUUAAUAUUCUAAUUAAAAUGUUUUUAUUAUGUAAUAAUACUUUUGUAUUUCUAAUAAAAAUGCAUUUAAGAAAAAUUAACUAAAUUAUGUUUAGUUUCCAAAAUAUUGGAAGAGAAAUGUGAAGGAAAUUAAAAAAUAUAUUUAAAGUUAAUAAAUAGUUUUAAGACAUUACUUGAAAGUCAUUUCAUACAUUUUAAUUUUAUUGUAUAAAGAUUGAAUAAUUUGAAAAUGCAUAAAUUAUAUUAUGUUUGGUUCUUCAAAAAUUUAAGGAAAAAAAAGAAUAUAUAUAUAUAUAUAUAUAUAUAUAUAUAUAUAUAUAUAUAUAUAUAUAUAUAUAUAUAUAUAUAUAUAUAUUUUAUAAUUAAUAAAUUAUUUUUAUAUAUUAUUUUCAAUUUAUUUCACUUUUUUUUCUUGAUUAAAUAAUUAAAAUAUUUAAAAAUUUAUAAUUUGUUUUAAUUAUAUUUGAUUCUCCUUUUAUAUAUAUAUAUACACAGAGAACCGUUUUUUUGUUGUUGAGCACCUGCGCAUAUGUUCAGAGCAAACUCCAACCAUGCACUUGAACAAACAAUUGGACUAAGCUUGGGGAUGAAGAAAAUGGAGAUGUGGAUAGGAGCAUAGUGUGGCCCCGUUGGUUAAUAAGUGAUUGGGGGCAAGGGAACAAACACUUUGAUGGCACAUGGAGGAGCACUUACAAGGAAGAAUGAUACCGUACUUGAAUUUUAUGGAUGUAUCGGUCAAAUAUAGAUGAAUAUUCUAAUAGUGAGACGAAAAUGGUUUAAAAUUCAUUAAAAUACUUUAAUUUUUUUUUAAAUAAUAAAAUAAAUAAAAAUAUAUAUGUUAAAAUUAUUUUGUAAGUGCAAAUAACGUAAUUAUGAUGAAGGAUAAUAUUUAUAAAAAAAUUUAGAAAAAUUUAUCUUGAAUUCCUUUCAUAUAUUUAUAUUCAUCUAUUUUAAAAUUUUAAAACUAUUUUUUAUUAAAAACAUGUUUUAUUACAUUUUAAAUAAAAAAUAAAAUCCUUUUUAAGAUUUAUAUAAAAUGUUUUAUUUGAGAUUUAUUUUCUAAAAUUUUAUUAUAUGUGGUAACAACUUUUUAUUAUAGAUAUUAAUUUAUUUAAAGAAUUAAAAUUAUUAAAAAUUAUAUUAAUAGUUUAUCCUAUCAAAUUAAUUUAAAUUUAUAAAAUAUUAGACCUUUAUUAUUAUUAUUAUUAUUAUUAUUAUUAUUUACAUUUUAGCAAUUUUUGAAUACAUUUAUGUUUUCAAUAUUUUAAAAUGAAAAUAUUUAAAUUAAAUAAAAUUAAAAGGAUAAACAUAAAAAAUUUAAAGUGAAAUGAUAGUAAAAUUUUAAAAUAUGAUUAAUGAGAUAAAUGAUGAUAGAUUUAAUAUUAAAACUACAAUUCAUUUAAUUCAAAUAAAUGACCAUGUAUGAUUUUUUUUAAUAUUUAUAUUUUUUAUAUUUAAUUAUCAUACUUGUUAAGAAAAUUAUAAUGAUGGUUUUUCUACUUUUAGUAAUCAAUUAAAUAAAAUUUAAAAUAAAAUAAUUAGAAUUAAUAUAUUUAUUAAAAUAUUCUUAUAACAAUGAAGUUUAAUAUAUUGAUAUGUAUAUAUAUUAAGGCAAACUUGCCCCAACGGUGGUUAGACAUGAGUUCAAGCCUUUUUGACCCAACGAUAGUUAAUUGAUUGAAAUAUUGUGAAAAUUUAUGAAAAGUCGAUAUUUCGGUGAUAAUUCCAAAAUAUAAGCUAAAUUUCUCCUAAUUUUCGGUCCCUAUUGAAUCACUCUGACAAGUGAAGCGAAAUAUUGAUAAAAUUUCACUAAAAAUUUGCGAUAUUUCAAACAUUGGUUUCAAGCACACAUCAAGGCACGAUUCAAGAGACAAACCCAUCAAGGGAGGAAACAUGGAUGGGGCAUGCUUUAAGUGCACUUUUUACAUUUUGAGACGCGUGAGGAGUAAGCUUUAGUGUACUUGAACAAAAAAUUGAAAUGGAAAACCAACCUAUCUAUGAGUGUUUAGGUAGGUUGGCAAUUUCUGAUAAAAUUCCUAAGUGUCCCCUAACUUGGUUUAUAUUUUGUUCCCCUAUUUCUGGAUCGAUCCAAGUGCAGGAGUAAAUCGAUCCAACUAACCUAUUUUUAAGAUCAAUUUUUAGCCAUUGGAUUAAGGGUUUUAUUCUCAUUUAAAAUCAAAAUUUUCCCAUUUUUGGAAGUAAUGAUUGCAACAGCCGUGAGAGGAUUAUUUAUUUCCUCAUCAUUUUAAGGGUGUUUGCCUCCUAAGAAAAUCCCAUCCAAAUUUUCCAAGAAAUUUUUUUUUAAUGGAUUUUUUGAAAAUGAACAUGGGUUGAUUUCUAAAAAUUUAUCUCUCAUUCUCUUAGUUUUGUGCAAAAACUCAUUUUCUUCUUGUGUGAAUUCAAGAAGAGAUUGAGAUCAAGCUUGGUGCGGACUCCAAGUGUGUUCUGAAAUAAGAAAGUGAGAAGCUGAAAGUGAAGGUAUUAGUCAAGUAGUCUUUAAAGGAUUGAUUGACUUGAGGUAGGUAAAAUCUUGUAUUCAGUUUUGAUUCUUCAUAGUGAAUGUUUUCAAUUUUAUAGUAGGCCCAUGGUUUUUUAUCUUUUUGGAAGUUUUCCACAUUAAAACUUAGUGUCAAUUAUCUCUUUCUCUCACUCUACUGUUUGAUUUAUUUUCAGUUUUUGAUAUCAUUGGAUACUUAAGCAUAUAUGUUGAAUGGUAGAUAUAUGAGCUGAAAUAAGUAUGAUUAUCCAUGGAAUAUCUUCAAUUAUUUUUUUGUUUAUUUUGGUUAAUGGUAUCUUGUAGUAAAUUAAAAUGAGUUAAGGAGAUAAUUGUUUUUUUGAAUAAAUUUUAAUGAGUAUUGAAACAUUUGCAUGUGAAUUGCAUUUUAUAAAUUGUUGGGAGAGUGUUGGUGUAUACAUACUUGCUUGUGGUUUUUAUGCUUUGUUGAAAAGUUGUUGGAAGAGAAGUUUAUGGGCAUUGAAAAUUUUUAAGGUUAGGUAAUCCUUGUUGGGAAAUUUUUUUUAGUUCAACAACACUUAUUCACUCUCUCUCUCUCUCUCUCUCUCUCCCCCUCCCCUCCUUUCUAAGUGUAGUCCAUUAUUGAGAUUUACCUUUUCAAUUGACAUCUGAGUAGGUUUUUAAAGCAAAAAUCACUUUCUUGAAUCUCAAUUAUAGAACCUCAUCAAGAGGGAGCUUCCAUUGGGAGACCACCAAUCUUAACCGAUGAAAAUUAUUCUCAUUGGAAAGUGAGAAUGCAAUAUUUUCUCAAAAUGCAAAGUGAAAAAAGUUUGAAAUGCUGUUGAAUUUGGUUAGUCUCCACCUAAGGUAUUGGAUAGAGAAGAUAGACCAACAAAUGUUAUCAAGCCUAAGUCGGAAUGAGAUAGAGGUGAUAAUGAAGCUAGUGAGAACAAUGAUAGAGUCAUCUAUUCCAUCUUUAAUGCCAUUAACACAUAUGAAUUCCAUAGGAUAGCUACAUGUACUUUGGCUAAGGAGGCUUGGGACAUCCUCUAAGUGACUCAUGAAGGAACUAAUGUUGCGAAAGUGUUCAAACUUCAGAUGUUGACCUUUAGGUUUGAGACAAUUAGGAUGGAAGAUCAUGAAAACUUUGGAGAGUUUUAUGCAAAAUUGAUGGACAUUGUGAAUUCUAGCUUUAAUCUAAGUGAGCCCAUUCUUAACUCCAAAGUGGUUUCAAAAAUUCUAAGAUCUCUUUCGGAGAGAUUUAGAGCAAAAAUCACCGUCAUUGAAAAGUCCAAGGAUGUGGAUUCCUUAAAAGUAAAUAAACUUGUAGGUUCACUCCAAACCUUUAAAAUGACUCUUGGAUCACCUAGGAAAUCAAAGAGUAUUGCCUUAAAUACCAUUAAAGAUGAGUCCUUAGGUUCUAAAGGUGAGUGUGAUGAGAAAAUGUCGGAUGGAGAAGUUGCUAGAUUUGCUAGAAAAUUCAAAAAACACAUGAAGUUCAAGAAAUAUAAGAAGUCCAAGGAAAAUGCUAAAAAAUGGAACAAUUCAAUGGGAAAAUCAAAUGUAAAAGACAAAAAGAAAGACAAGAAUGUCAAAAAGGACCUUGAGGUUGAGUGCUUCAAGUGUGGGGAAAAGAUGCACUAUGUCAUCGAAUGUCCCUAAAAAAAAAAAAAAAAAAAAAAAGAAAAAAAAAGAAAGAAAGCCAUGUAAGUCAUUUGGAGUCACACAAAAUCAUGUUAAUCAAGCAAAAAAGAAUCAAAUGCAAGUGAGGAAUGCACUAAUUUCACAGCCUUUAUGGUAAGUGUCAUUGAGGAAACACUCAAGAAAGAAGUUUUUGGUGAGUCUUGUGAGUCAAGUGACUUUGAUGGUAAUGAGAUGAGUUUUGACUCUGCAUAUGAGACUUUGUACAAGGAGUGCUUAAGUCUAAAACAGAAACAAGUUGAGUGGAAGGCUUCUAGUGAGUCUUGUGAGUCAAGUUAAGUCUCAACUUGAGACCUGUGAGGCAUAAGCUUCAGUGUACUUGAACAAAAAAUCGAAAUGGAAAACCAACCUAUCCCUUCUCAACUUGUCUACGUUCCAUUCUUCUUUGCUUCAAAGUGAUCACAAGUAUUGCUCUCUUUCCUCGGUUCCCAUAUCAUUAUCAUUUUCUUUGCUUAUCUUCAUAUUCUCAUUUCUUGCUCUUUCUAUUCAACGACAAACAUUAUUUUCAUUUUAUUCUCUUCUUGUAUCUUUACUUGUUGUACCUUUUUUUCCGUUUAAAAGUUCGUUUGAAGGAGGAAGACUAGUUUGGGGUUUUUAAAUUGAAAUGAUGAUUCUGUCAUCACUUAAACCUUGUCACAUGUUCAACAUUAUGCAUAUUUUGUUCAUUAUAACUAACAUCAUCACACAAUACAAUAAAUGUAUGACAUGUAUUUAUGAAGUAUGAUGGGUACAUUGUUGAAUUUUAAAUGUAAAGGGGUAAUAUGAAAAACACACUAUUGGUUGAAGGUAAAGUGUAAUACACUCUUUUAUUUUAUAUGUUUUAAAAUAUUUUAUAUAUUUAUUAAUUAUUAAUUAUGAAGAUUAAAUUCAAGUCUAGGCCUUGUUUUACAAUGUUUUCUUAAAUUAGUUUUGAAAUUAAAGGAAAAAGAAAUAAUGUUUUUUGGUACUUUUAAAAAUGUGUUUAAUAAGCGUUUAAAAAAAAUAAUUUGUAAGAGCAAAAAAAAACACUUGGAUAAACAAAUUUUAGUUGUUUUUAAAAUUAAUUUUUAUAUUUUGAUUUUAUAAAAAAUUUGGAAAUUCAAAUUUUCAUAAUAUUAAUUAAAUUAAAUUAAAUUCAAGCCUUUUUAAAAUAAAAAAUGGUGUUGUAAUUAAAAAUAAUUGAUUUUAGUAAUAUGAUAAUAAAAACAUAAAUUAUAUAUAUAUUUAUUAAAGAUGAUACUAUUUUAGUAUAUAAAUAUUAAUAUUUUAUUAUAGUCAUAGUUUAUUCUCUUUUCCAGAACUGAUACUUCCAUUCAUCCUUGAGGAUGUCAGCAUCUUUUGCUUAGCCGCAGGUGAAGUUUGGAUUCUCUCUUUAUUGUUUACAGUUUGAGGGGUGUGACUUUGCUUUACAGCUGUCCAUCUUUUGAUUCACAUAUGGAGAAAGCCACAGAGGAUGCAGAUGCAACAAAACAACGAAGUGGUCAAGUGUGUCAACCGGAAAGACGUGCUUAAAGCUUUCUGCAUUAAGUGGAAAAACUUAAAAAAAUAAUCUUACUUUAUUCUGUUGAUGACUCAUUCUAAUACAUUAUUACCAUUCAUAGUGGAGAAUGGAGAUCAAAUUUCGAUUUUGUCCCACUAUUUGGGCGUCGGUGAAGGAAUUGGCAGGCGCGCUUCAGUGUGCAUCGGGGCGCGCUUCAGUGUGCAUCGGGGCGCGCUUCGGUACGCGUCGAGGCGCGCUUCGGUACGCGUCGAGGCGCGCUUCAGGUACGCGUCGAGGCGCGCUGCAGGUACGCGUCGAGCCCAAAAGGCAUACGAGUCAGAGUUCAAGACAUGGAAGAGGCGCGCCUCCGGUGCGCUUUUCAGACCUGGAGGGUGGAGGGUGGAGGGUGGACGCGUAAGUUUUGAUGUAGUUGAACAAAAGAUGAAAUGGAUGCAAGUUUCAGAAAAGAAUCCAAGCCCUUUCCAAGUCCCAACUCUUUUUCUCUCGUGGACGCCCCUCGCUCUUCUCUGCUUUCCCGUGGUUGCAGUGCAGGUUCUGCUCUCUCCUUUCUCUCCUCAUUUCGUUUUCAUUCUCUCUCUCUCUCUCUCUCUUCCUCUAUUUAUUUUUUUCCCUUUUAUGAAUUACAAUUUACAACAUAAAUGUCACUUAUUUUUAAUCCCGCAUUAUUGUGAUUUAUUGGCAAAAUAAAAGGAAAAAUUACUUAGUUAUGUAUGAUUUCCAUAUUUUACAAAUUUUUUUUUGUUUGCAAUUCAUGUGUUCAAAUUACAAAAAAAAAAAAAAAGUGUAAUUAAAUUAUUGUUCUUUUUAUAUAUAACUAAAAAUAAUGCAAUUCCAUCAUUAUCCUUUUUCUCAAGUAAUAAAAAAGUAUACAAUUUAAAUAUUAAUUUAAGUGAAAAAAUACAUUAUUUAGGUGAAUUUUUUUAUAAAUUUAUUUUUAAAUAUAUAUAUAUAUAUAUAUAUAUAUAUAUAUAUAUAUAUAUAUAUAUAUAUAUAUAUAUAUAUAUAUAUAUAUAAAAUGUAAGAGCACAUACCUUGUUUAUUUGAAAAUUUUCAAGUUCAAUUUUUUAAAAUUUUAAGAUUUUAAAAAGAGUUUUUAAGAUACAAAGUAAAUUUUGUAUUUUUUAUAAGAGCUCUUAUAUUUUGUUCAGAGGUUUUUAAUUUUAAAAAUAAAAUAGAAAGUAUAUUUAAAUGUCACCUUAGUUAUUCUUAAUUAUUUUGAUUUAUUAUGAAGUUUAUUAUUUUUUAUUUGUUAUUUUGUAUAUGUUAUAAAUUAUUUUUUAUAUUUACUAGUUAUGAAAAUUAAAUUAUCAAAAGCUUCGGAAUGUCAUCCUAGGACACUAAAAUGCCUAUUCUAGGCUUUUAACUUCAAAAAAAUGUAAGGUAGAAAGGGUUGACAUCCUAUCGAAAUAUGAAACAUGUUUAGGAAUGAUUCUAAUUAAAACCCUUUUAGUCCAUGACAUUUUUUGUUAAUAGUGUUUUCAUUAAAAAGGCAUUUAAGGAAAAUUACUUAGUGUUUGUGUUAGUGUUCAAACUCUUGAAGUUGGGUUUGCUACUAAUCUUGACUUAACAAUCCAAAGUAGUAAUUGAUUAACUUAUGCAUAUAAUCUCUUUAUAAAUUAAUAUCUGUAAUCUAACAAGGUGAAAGAUAACAACUUCUCAAGAUUACCUUUAUCAUCCUUGAGUUCCAAAUCAUCCUAUAAUAUAAUUAAUUAACAUAUCCUAACUCACAACGAGCUUAUAUCAAAUUUCACUAAAGAAACCAUUAUGGUCAUAAUUUACUUAAACACAUCUCCUUAGGAUUGCCCAAGGGGACAUAAUGUCUUAAUUUCAUAAUAUAUCAUAAUGCUCAUAUUGAAAAUACAUAUUGCUAUCAAAUUUCAUCAACAGUGAUCCAAUUUAUAGGGAAUAUAUAAUUACUUUAAGAUUUCACUCGUACGUCAAAGUCAUUGCUAACUUUGUUACAAACUCAAUAUUCUCUCAAGGUUCAUAAUAGUUUAAUAAAGUCAUAACUAAUCAAUAGUCUUACGUCAUGAUUCAACAUAAGUUUUAUCUAAUGUGUAACCGAACACACUAUUGUAUUUACCAUAGGAACCUCAUCCUAGUGGGUAAGACCGGUUAUUUUUUUAAUUAGGAGGUAAUGCAUUACAACCUAUAAUGAAUUGUCUAAGUCCAUGAAUUGACCUCUAAAUAAAUCAUCUAUUUGUAAAGAACUAAUGACUUGAAUCUUCCCGUACAACUUUUAAUAUAUCAAAGUCAUGCAAAAUACAAGAAAUAUAAGUCAAAAUACUCAUAAGAUAAAAUGUAUGAAAUAAGAAUAGAUUAAAAUGCAACGGAAACUUUAUUAAAUAAAUUAUAAACUUUAAAUUUGUUGUAUCAUAUCAUACUUUUCAGGACUCUUAAUAGAUGUGUUAUUAUUCAUAUAUUCCAAAAACAGUAUCAUAAUUUAUUUUCUUGUCUAUGUUGAUCAUGACCUUAUCAAUACUAGUAACCACUUAAGCUUUACUUCUCAUUUCAUUGCAAGCCUCUCAUUAUAGUUCUUCGUGAAGGAUCUUAGAGAUCUACAUGACUUCCUUGAUGUUAAGGUUGUCCCUACUACCAAAUGUAAUGUUUCUACCUCUACAUAAAUACAUUUGGAACCUCCUACAACCUCACCAUAUAUCAUAAUCCAAUGUAGUGAACAUUCCAUUAUCAACCUUAACACCUUUGGUUCACUAUGAUGGUACUCUUUCCUAUAACCCAACGCAAUAUUGACAAGUGGUUAGAACCGAACCCUCUAAUCUUCAGCCGUGCAAAUGGCAUCUUCUUUGUUGUAAACAAGUUAUCUUAAGUCAUGCAUUAACCAACUCAUACGCAUUGUUCAAUUGCCACCUACCUACCUAUGUACCAAUCUAAUUUUUCACUCUCGUGUAUAAAACAUGUUGCUAUUGAUUUUCAUUUUGUUCACGAUAAGGUUUUUGUCGGCCAACAUUGUGCGUCUCAUGUUUCCACUCAAGACCAAGGAGGAAAAAAUCGGCGAAAUAUCGCCGAUAUAUCGCGUGUCGGCGGGUGGCGAAACGACACAUGGAGGAGAUAAGUCGGCCAGGCGAUUUUUCGCAAAAAAUCGUCCCCCUCUCUCCAGCGUGAUCUGACGGCCCAGAUCACGCCCGUGUUGAUCCAACGCCCAGAUUUGAAUCCCAACGUUAACAAAGAGAUCCAACGGCCAGAUUGCUUCCAAAUUGUGAUCCAACGGCCAAAAUUAAUUUUAAACGGUAACUUAAGCUUUCAACGGCUAUUUUGGCCCAAAUUUCACCUAUAAAUAGCCAAUUUUGCAUCAAUUUCAUCCAUUUUUGCUUUGAUUCUUCAUUUGCUCUCCUAUUACUCCAAUUUUUUCCAAGAUUGCUCAAUUAUUCAAUCAUUUUAAGGUAUGUUUGUUUGCAAUAAUUAAUUCAUGUAUUUUUAAUUAAUUAGUAUGUUUACAUUCAAUUGUAAUUAUUUUGUAUAUUUUUAUUGAAUUAAUUUGGGUUAUGAUAUAUUUAUUUUAGAUGAUUAUUUGUGAUUUAAAUUCGUAUUUAGAAUUACAUUAAACUAAUUAACUUAGCUAAAUUGUUUAAUUAAUUUAAUUAACAUAGUAAAUUAUGUAAUUAAUUUAAUUAACAUGGUUAAUUAUGGAAUAUUAAAUAUGCUCAAUAUUUUAUAUUAUCGCAAUUUAUUUUCAUAUUCAAUUAUGAUUAAUUUCAAUAUUUAGUAAAUUUGUCAUAAAAUUACAUUUAGAUUUUAAAAAUUAACUUAGGUAAUUUAUUUAAUUAGUUAAAUUAACAUGAACUACUAUAUAUGAAAUAUUAAAUAUGAUCAAUUUUUUUAUAUUAUCGCUAUUUAUUUUCAUAUUCAAUUAUGAUUAAUUUCAAUAUUUAGUAAAUUUGUCAUAAAAUUACAUUUAGAUUUUAAAAAUUAACUUAGCUAAAUUAUUUAAUUAGUUAAAUUAACAUGAACUACUAUAUAUGGAAUAUUAAAUAUGAUCAAUUUUUUUAUAUUAUCGCGAUUUAUUUUCAUAUUCAAUUAUGAUUAAUUUCAAUAUUUAGUAAAUUUGUCAUAAAAUUACAUUUAGAUUUUAAAAAUUAACUUAGGUAAUUUAUUUAAUUAGUUAAAUUAACAUGAACUACUAUAUAUGGAAUAUUAAAUAUGAUCAAUUUUUUUAUAUUAUCGCGAUUUAUUUUCAAUUAUGAUUAAUUUCAAUAUUUAGUAAAUUUGUCAUAAAAUUACAUUUAGAUUUUAAAAAUUAACUUAGGUAAUUUAUUUAAUUAGUUAAAUUAACAUGAACUACUAUAUAUGGAAUAUUAAAUAUGAUCAAUUUUUUUAUAUUAUCGCGAUUUAUUUUCAUAUUCAAUUAUGAUUAAUUUCAAUAUUUAGUAAAUUUGUCAUAAAAUUACAUUUAGAUUUUGAAAAUUAACUUAGGUAAUUUAUUUAAUUAGUUAAAUUAACAUAGAUUUAAAUUUAAGUGUAUUUUUCUUGCAAUAGAUUUAGCAUGGCUAGUGAAGGUGGUUCUGCCGUGCCAGGGCGAGAUCCGGCUUGGAAGUAUUGUUCACCAAUUGAGGGUAAUCGAAAUGCAACAAUUUGUAAUUUUUGUGGGUUGGUAAUGAAAAGUGGAGGCAUCACACGAUUCAAGUCUCAUUUAAUGCAUAAGGACCCGCAUAACAACACCAAAAAGUGUCCAAGAGUGCCGCCCGAAGUGAAAGAAGAGAUACGAUUGUUGGUGCAUGACAAACAAAAAGCAAAAGCAAAAAAAAAUGCUGAUAUUGAAGAAAUUCGUAGUCAAUUACGUGGCACAAUGGGGACGCAUCAUACACAUUUGGUAAACGAAGAUGAUGAUGAUGAAGAUGCUGAGGAAGAAGAUGUGUAUAUGUAUCCGACAGAUAUGCACCCAGAUGAGCGAGAUGCAUAUCGAUCUGCAGUUCGUGCCUCGAAAGCAUCUAAUUGGGAACGUGAACAACAUGAGAAUAUUGUAGGAAGCAAACGCAAAUCGGGAGAGUCUUCUACUGGUAUACCGUUGACGAUGCGAAAAUCACAGAGUAUGCGAUAUUCGCAUCAUUCACCCCCUAUUGCCCCUUCGCUUUACAAGUCUUCUACAGCAAAACAAAAAAAUAUCAAAGAUAUAUUCAAGGGUGGUGCAAUUAAAGAAACGAUGGGACGCUUAAUCAGCAAAUUCUUCAUUUAUGAGAGCGUCGCACCCGCAAAAGCAAAGUCUCAUCACUUCAAGAAUAUGAUUAUUGGUGCACAACAAGCAGGUAAUUACUAAUUUAUCAAAUGUUAUAUUGUGUUAUACUUUUAGUAAGUAUAGUAUUUUGUGACAUGUUUUACAUAUGAAGUGCAGGAAUGGGAAUCGAACCUCCAUCUCCAUAUGAAAUAAAGAACAAAUACUUGGAAAUGGAGUACAAAGAAAUGGAAGCUUAUGUGAACCAACAACGGGAAAAAUGGAAGACAUAUGGGUGCACAAUAAUGUCAGAUGGAUGGACAGGGCCCACGAAAUUAAGUAUUAUUAAUUUCAUGGUUUAUUCUAAAGGGACCACGGUGUUCCUUAAGUCAGUCGAUGCAUCGAACUAUAUCAAAGACCACAAGUAUAUAUAUGAGCUUUUGAAGACUAUUAUCAAAGAAGUCGGUAAGGAAAAUGUGGUCCAAAUUGUCACAGAUAAUGGGUCGGCAUUCAUGAAAGCAGGGAAACAAUUGAUGAAGAAGUAUAACUUAUAUUGGACUCCGUGUGCGGCACACUGCAUCGACUUAAUCUUUGAAGACAUCGGUAAAAGACCCAAUGUUAUCGAGGUGAUAAACAAUGCUCGCAAGAUAACUAACUUCAUUUACAAUCAUGGUUGGUUACUAGCACAAAUGAGAAAGUAUUGUGGUGGAGACAUUGUUCGACCAGGAGCUACAAGGUUUGCUACCAAUUAUAUUGCUCUUGACAGUCUUCUAAAAAAAAGGGCUGAUUUGAAAAAAUUGUUUAUGAGUGAUGAAUGGGCACAACACAAACUCAGUCGAACAAAACUUGGACGAGAAUUGGAGCAAUUAUUGUUUGACCAUACGUAUUGGGACAGAUUGACAAAUAUAGUUUCAUUAUAUGAGCCAUUAUACGUGGUGCUUCGACUUGUGGAUUCUGAAGUUGUUCCCACAAUGCCAUUUGUGUACGAGCUUAUGCACGUGAUGAAAGAGAACCUUAUUCGUCAAGGAGCUGGAGAUUGGAUGUUCAAAAUAAUACAAGAUCGUUGGCAGAAAACACUAAAACAUCCACUUCAUGCAGCAGGUACUUAAAUACUAUAUAUCUUUAUAAGUUUUACUUUGUAUUUAAGUUUAUUUAAAAAAAAAAUACUAACUCUACUAAAUUUUAUUGUAGCAUACUUCUUGAAUCCAAGAUUUCAAUAUAGGCGUGGAGUUGGUAGUGAUCCGGAACUACUUCAAGCUGUCCAUGAUGUUUUUGCAAAAUUAGAUCCAACUACUGAAUCGCUUGGUCAAUUUGGAAAUGAGGUGAAUAAAAAAUUGUUAUUUUUGUCAAUAAAACAAUAAUUUCAUUCAUCAAUUUAUUUGAACGUUUACUAACAAAUUAAAUGUUGAAUACAUAGCUUGUACUUUUUCGAGAUGCAAAAAGAGGAUUCGGUGAUCGAGCGGCAAUUGCAUCAAGGUCAACCAUGGUGCUUGGUGAGUCUUUAUAGGAAAAAAUUGAUUAUUAUUAUUGUAAGUUCACCACAUAAGUAUUUAUAUGAUUAUCAAAUUCGUUGCAGCUGAAUGGUGGUUUAUGUAUGGGAAUCAAACACCUACAUUGAGAAAGUUAGCCAUCAAAGUUCUCUCACAAACUGCGUCAUCUUCUGCAUGUGAGAGAAAUUGGAGCACGUUUGCUCUCAUCCACACAAAGCAACGAAAUCUUUUGGCUUACUCUCGAUUGGAGCAAUUAGUGUUUUGUUACUAUAAUAUGAGGCUAAAGUUACGCGAUAUGGAGACAGAAAAUGAUCGAGUUGCUGAAAAAGAUUACCUUGAUCUCCUUGACAUUUCAGCCGAGGUGGGUGAAGAAGAAGAUAAUCAGUUGUUCCAGUGGGUUAGGCCUAUACACUUGGAUGACGAAGUUGGAAAUCCUGAUCCACGAAUUGCCGCUCAUGCUCGAGAAUUUGGAGUUAAUGUUGAACGUGUGUUGUCCGAAGAAGUUCACUCUGAAAGUUUUAGCAAAGAUACUGAUGAUUCUCUUCAUGCAACAUAUUCCCAGCAAGAGAUUGACUCCACAAGUGCUGGCCAUAGUAGUAGACCUAGUGCUGCAGGUACUUCUGCUUCUGGUUACGAUGGUUCAAGAGGUGGAACUGAUGAUGGAGGUGAUAAUGGGGGAGGAGAUAUUGAUGAACAUCGACAUAGUCAAUAUCCAAUCAACCAAUUUACUUGUGAAAAUGAUUUCACACACUGCACACAGGAUGAAGACCAUGGCUCUAGAAGAGCUGGUCCAGGCAUAAGAGCUAUUGGGAGGCCUUAUAGAGGAAGAGAACGAAUGAUGGAACCAUAUAACAAGGAGUUACUUUCAGGGAGUUUUGAAUCUAUGAGUAUAGGGACUCAAUUUAGUGACUCCUCGAAUGAGGCUAACGUCUACCCUCCUCAUGUGAUGAGUUAUGGUCAACCUUCAAGUUCAAUAGAUGAAGAGUAUGGUAUGUCACAUUAUUCCCCUUCCAGACAAAUGCCAUACCAAAUUCCAUAUCAGAUGGAAGAAGGAUUUGGCGUUAACACAUGGGUGAACUUUGAGUAUCCUAUCCAUGUAGAAGCAGUAGGCAGGACUCAAGAGAUAUAUGCAUGGCAUGUUAGAAUUUAUAACCAAUAUUAUCGAGACUCAUUGACUUGGUACCAAUAUUGUCUCCAACAGCAAGCCGGGGUUCCUUCAUCUAUCAAUCCCAUUGAACCACAUCGAAACUCAUUUUGGUACUAAAGGGACAUUGCAAUGUAAUGUGUACAAAUUAUUGUUAUUUAAUGAAAUGAAGUAUUUGAUGUGACUUUAUAAUGAGAUCAAUUACGAAAUUAACAUUUCUUAUAGAUCGACAUGAUAUAAUUACAUCUAAUAUCGCAAAUUAUAUCAUAUAUAUAUCAAAUUUUUCAAUAAAACAAUUUUAAAAUGUCUAUUAUACUUCUAAUUAUAUUAUUAUGAGGUUUUUCUUACAUUUCCAUGAGUUUUUAACAAUUUUAAGCCUACCAAUAAUAUCCACCGAUAUAUCUCCGAUAUAUCCGAUAUAUCCGUAAAAUCGAAUUACCGAUAUAUCCGUGAUUACUGAUAUUUUCAUCCUUGCUCAAGACCAACUUGUUGACGCUCUCACCAAAUCAUUAUUCCAUCAAUGACUUCUUUUAUUCCUUUCCAAGAUGGGUGUUUCCAAUGGAAUCAUUAUCUUGAGGUGAAAUAUUGGGAACGAAUCAACAACUUCUCCCAACCUCGUGGAUUCCAGCUCAUGAUCCACUCAUUCACAUGAAAUGAAGUCUCUUAAUUUCAACUGCUCCCAAUUAUUCGCAAUUAAGCAUAUUGUAAUAUUCUCAUUUGUAACAAUUCCUUUCAUUUGAAUUCUGAUUCUUUGUGUAUAUAUAUUAUUGUAAAAGAUACAACAAUUUAUUCAAUUCAUUCCUUUUUCUGCAAACUUGCUUGACCCUAUUAAUGCCAUCUUACAUCCACUGUCAUUCCAUUCAUGAAAGCAGACCAUAAAAAACACUCGCUCAUAAAACAUCACUCCAAAAAAAAAAAGAAGGAAAAAUCAGUUUUUUUGCCAAAUUUACAACAAGAAUAUUUGUUUAUUUGGCAAGCAGAGGGACUGGAGAGCAAAAUCAGCCUGAAGUCACGGGUCAUGAAAUAGGAUGCCUGGCCUGAAAAAGGCAUGUGAAGCCAGUCCAAAUUCCGAGUAGAAAAAAGGUCUCCAGUGAGGGUGGGGACAUGGAGGCUGGAAAUUGUAAUAAUCCCAAGAGUAUGUUGGAAUUUUUAUGUGUGGACUUACAUAAUUAAUUUGAUAAUGUCAUAAAUCAGUGUUAUUUAUUUUUGCAUUGUGGUCCAUAAUGGGACUGGACACAUAUUGUUGCUUAAUUUUUAUGGGCUCACCCUAAUUCACUUGAUUAGCCCAUUAAGUCAAGUGGUGGUCCAAAUAAUGUGUGUGAUAUAUAUAUAUAUAUAUAAAAGAAAAGGAUGGGCUCACUGUGUGGCUGGCUCCCUACUCUUCCUCCUUUGGCUGAAAGAGAGCACGCACUCUCGUCAUGGACUGAAUCUGGGUGUAGAAGGGAAGAACUCAUUAACCCGUAAUUCUCGCACUAUCAAGCACUGGAGGAGCUUCCUGAAUACUAGAAAAGAGCAAGAAAUGGCCUUUCACGGAAUUAACCAAGGUGAACGUUUCCGUUUUUGCCGUUCAAUGCAUGCUUAAAUGUCAACAUGUGAUCCUAUAUUGUUUAAAUUUUCUUCAAUUGGUAUCAGAGCAAGCAUGAUUGACAUUUGAGCUGCAAUUUUGGGUUAAUUUUUGGGUUUCCCGUUUCCUGUGGUGGAAGCCAUUUUUUUGGAUUUUUAUUUCUCGUUUGAUGUUGAUUCUCUGUUUUCAAGCCCGAUUGUUGUUGGAAACUUGUAGAGAAUAUUGUUUGGAGCAAAACCCAUCAUUUUAUUUGAUUUUUGGAGCUUGUUUGGUGGGAUUUCGAAAAUUAAGGCUUGUUUGGUUCUUGCUAUUAUGCGUUUUUUUGUGCAAUUUUUGGGUUUGGAUUGAAGAAUUGAUGUUUGAGGAUGGAAAUCUAUGUAUUUUUGACGAAAAAUGCAUGAAAUUUUGGGCGGAAAAUUUUUUUUUUCUUCUCCAGAACCAGGCCGUGCUCAGCUAGAGGAGAAGAUGAAUAGUGAUGUGAUGAAUCAUGACGUCAUAAAAAAAAAAAAAAAAAAACCAAUUUUUUUUUUUUUUGUUGCCUUGGUAUUCUUGGAUUGAUUGUGCAUAUGCUAGAAUUAUUAUGCAUUUGUUAAAUUUGACUUUAUUGGGACAAUUAUUAUUAUUAUUGUUCUUUAUGGUAUAAUUUUUCCUUAUAUUAAUAAUGUUGUCCUAUGUCAAUUUUGUUAAAUAUUUCAAUUUAUUGAGGCAAUGAAGCACACUUGUGUGAUUGCCUAUUGCAAUUCCAAGUGUGUGAUUGAUUGUGCAUAUGCUAGAAUUAUUAUGCAUUUGUUAAAUUUGGCUUUAUUGGGACAAUUAUUAUUAUUAUUGUUCUUUAUGGUAUAAUUUUUCCUUAUAUCAAUAAUGUUGUCCUAUGUCAAUUUUGUUAAAUAUUUCAAUUUAUUGAGGCAAUGAAGCACACUUGUGUGAUUGCCUAUCGCAAUUCCAAGUGUGUCAAAUUGUGAAAAUUAAGAUAUUUUGAAUUUUAUUCAUGACAAUAGUGAACAUAUGUGUGGUUGCCUAUCGUGAUCCUAUAUGUGUCAAAUUGUCUUUGUUGAGAUAUUUUAUCUCCCUUUUUUUAUUGUUUUAUUAUUGUGAUAACUAAGGUCCAUACGGGUAUUGUGAUUGUCCUAUCGAUGAUUAUAAUAUUUGGUAGGAUAUUUGGAUUGGUGAAGGAAAUUAAUUUUAUAUUAUGACUCAUACUAAUUUUCUUUGCCCUUUCGGUAAUAAAAUUAGUGCAUCUUAGUUGUGAUAUUUAAUUGAUUGUCCUUAUUAAUUGCAUAGAAUCACAUGUUGACAAAUUAAGCAUGCAUUUAACAGCAAAAUUCAAUCCGUUACCUUGGUUCGUGCUUUGGGAAACCAUUUCUUCUCUCCUUUGAUAUCCAAUAAUCUGCUUUCCGGGUGCGUGAUGGUCCGAGAAUGAGCGAUCAUAUUUGGUAGGAUGCUUGGAUUGGUGAAGGAAAUUAAUUUUAUAUUAUGACUCGUACUAAUUUUCUUUGCCCUUUCGGUAAUAAAAUUAGUGCAUCUUAGUUGUGAUAUUUAAUUGAUUGUCCUUACCGCCGUGGAAUUUUCAAAAUUCCAAGCUGUUGCUAAAUUGAGAAAUUCUGGAAACUAGCAAAUGCAUGAUUUUGUAGUAACAUGCAUAUUGCUUAAUUUUGCUAUUUUCCAACUACUAGCAAUCCUGGUAUUACUCUGCAAUUGUUUGCCAUCAAACCCUCUUACUGGAAUAAUUUUGAGGAAUGUUUUGAGUCUUUCAAUGUGCAUAUGACUAUGCACAUUUUGGACUGGGCUUUGAGAGUUGAUAAGCCAAGUAAAUUUGAGUUCUUCCAUAUUGUAGCACAAACGCCUAGGUCAUAUUUCUAGGCAAAGAUUAGAGAGAUUGGUUAGAGAUGGUGAGUAUUAUGGGAGAUGUGAUGAGACUGGACGGAAUUCUGGACCAUUCACUAAGUUUCUAUUGGAAUGCGGCAUUGAUGCUAGAUAUACAAUGUCAGGCACUCCUCAACAGAAUGGGGUUGCAGAAAGGAGGAAUCGCACAUUGUUGGAUAUGGUGAGGUGCAUGUUGUCUAAUUCCUCCUUACCAGAAUUUCUAUGGGGUGAAGCCUUAAGGAAUGCGGCAUAUAUUUUGAAUCAAGUGCCCAGUAAGUCUGUGCUUAAGACACCUUAUGAGCUAUGCGCAGCGGAAGCGUGGUUAGGCCCUAUAAUCCAUAGUUAAAGAAACUUGAUCCUAAAACCAUUAUUGGUUUCUUUGUUGGCUAUUGCAUUGGAUCAAGGGGUUCCAGAUUUUAUUGUCCAUCUCAUACCACCAGGAUCAUUGAGUUAGACAGGGUUGUAUAUUUUGAAGAUGUGAGCUCUGUUGAUGAAAGAUCUAGUGGUAUCUGAAGUUUGAUAGUAUUAUCACCCAAAAUGACUUUAAAGAAAAUACAGUUGACAGAUGCAUAUAUUUGAGGGUUAGUGGGAGUAGUUACAUAUUUCUUGUUUUAUAUGUUGAUGAUAUACUACUCGCAUCAAAUGAUCCUGACUUGUUGAUUGAGACAAAGCACAUGUUGUCAACCCAUUUUGACAUGAAGGAUCUUGGUGAGGCUUCUUAUGUCUUGGGCAUAAAGAUUCUUCGUGAUAGGACUAAUGGAGUGCUUAAAUUGUCUCAAAGAGCCUAUAUUGAAAAGAUAUGAAGAGGUUCAAUAUGCACAACUGUAGUUUGAUAUUGCUUUUGUUGUGGGCAUGUUGGGAAGGUACUUGAGCAAUCCUGGGAGUCAACAUUGGAAUGCAGCUAAGAAGGUCCUUAGGUAUUUGCAAGGAACUAAGGACUUAAUGUUGACAUAUCAGCGCACCAGCUUACUUGAUGUAGUUGGGUUUUGUGAUGUUGAUUUUGCUGGUUGCAUAGAUGAUAAGAAAUCCACUACGGGCUAUAUUUUUAUGAUGGCAGGAGGAGCUGUAUCUUGGAAAAGUGUCAAGCAGACACUUACAACAUCCUCAACUAUGGAGGCAGAGUAUGUGGCAUGUUAUGAGGCUUGUUGUCAUGCUAUGUGGAUGCAGAAUUUUGUUUCAGCUUUAGGAGUUGUUGACUCCAUUUCUAGACCGCUGAAAUUAUUUUGUGAUAAUUCCGCAGCUGUUGCUUUCUCCAGUGAACAAUGAACAAAUAUAAUUAUGUGCAUAUCAAGGAUCAGGGUAAAUCAAUCACAUAUAGCUAAUGAAUCAAUCAAUCAGUCAAUCAAUCAUGAAGUCUCAUAUGUAGGGCCCCCACCAAAGCCCAUUUAUUUUUGCAUGAAUUAAUUCCAUAAAUUCCAUCAUUUGGAAUUACGGAAUUUGAUUUUUGCUUAUUUCAAAACAUUUUAAAAAAUAGAGGUGUGAAAAUUGCUUGCCAGAAAGAAAGAUGGAAGCCAGAUUUUAUUAAAAAUGGGAGGAUUUUUGGGAUCUAAACAUUUUAAGGAUGAAAAAUGGGGAAGUUGGGAUAGUUUGAGAAUUUGGAAUUUGGAAAAAACAUUUGAAAAUGGGGUUAGGAAAUUAUCUUUAAAAUAGCAAUAAUAAUAAUAAUAAUAAUAAUAAUAAUAAUAAUAAUAAUAAUAAUAAUAAUGAAAUGUAGAAAACCACAUGGUCAAGGGUUGCAUGCCAAAGGUGGCCAUGCAAGUCAUAGAUAAGGGUGGGUCCAGGUUGCCAUAGUUGGGUAUUGGAUAUGGACUUCAGAUCUUUCAUCCUUGGGUUGACUUUUCUGACUCUUCAUUCAAAACACCUGAUGUGGCAUCUCCUGCUUUGUUUCUAUCAGCAUCAUCUCAAGAUCGCAGGUGACUUUAGGAUUAAUCUCCUUCUCUAAAGGAAGCCUUUUAUUCGAUCUGCAAUAGCCGCCGGAGAUGGGAAGGCCUUUAGAGGAUUCAAGAUGACGCCAUCUGUAAAUCUGUACUCCUUGGCUUCUUUUGUGCUUAUGAAGAAACCACGAUCCGUGUUUUGGUUGAUCUUCUCGAAGCUUUGACCGAUGUGGUAGGAGAGAUACCCAAAGGAGGAUUUUGCUGCGUGUUCAUCCAUUGAACUAAGCUCAGGCCAUGGACUGCCUAGGGAUCUUUCAUGCAGACAUUUCCUUCUGAUGAUGUCAUAGUGAUGAGUUUGUCCACUGAGAAAACUUUUGGGAGGUCCAUCUUCAAAGGUCUCCUGGGUGCAAGCAACCGUGGAGUCGUCUAAGAAACUGCACUCAUCUGCGUUCAAGAAGCUCGACCUCUGAAGCCUCACUCUCCCUCACGGUGCUCGUCAUCCUUUGCCUUGAGAGGCUUCAUAACUUCCCAUGUGAAGUCGGGUCAUCUCUUUGAAAGUGCCCGUAUGCAGCCGUCUUCAAGAACCUGCCAUUGCCACCCCUCUUGAGAUCCAGGCUAAUGGCAAUCAUUCCAGGCCUGAAGUCAAAGCUCUCUUUCACAAUCUUGAGAAUCUCCUUGUCUGGCAUCUUUCCAGUGGCAUGCGUGUCAACAAAUACGGAUAAAGGCUCGGGCACACUAAUAGCAUAUGAGACCUACACGGUGCACCUGCGGGCAAGCCCAUUGUGGAGAUCUUUCUGUCAUCUGGACCUCUCUGUAUGCAUACAGAGAUAAAGGAACAGAAUUCUGCAGAAAAUUGAUCAACAGAUGCCAGAUGCAUAAGGCGGUGGCUGCUCAACAAUGACUUCCAUAAGUUCAUAAAAGCUGGUCCAUACUUCCCCUUACUCUGGUAGAGUUUCUCCAACUUUAGAAGCUCUACGAACCCAAGUUACUGAUUUCUUGCCAUAAAUCAACAAAAAGACGCUCCAAAAGCAGUGAACUAAGCCCAGAGCCAGUACCGCCACUAACAGCAUUGAAAACAAGGAAACCUUGGAGAUCAGUACAAUUGUCAGCCAGUUUUCGGAUCUGGUUCAAGCAUAGCACAAGAUCCAAAAACGAGAAUGUAACCACAACAGAGAAGAAACCAUGGAGGCAUAGCAUGAAAGAAAAUAGGUAAAAGUAUCUUCAAAAGGGGCUUCAAUGGUUGCUUGGCGUUCCGGUGAUGGCGGAGGCGCUUCGCCGCCGGCGGCAAGCCGCCGACGUCAUUCAAGGACAGCUUUGCUUGCUCUUUCCAUGAACCGGUUUCUGUGAUUUUCAAGUAUUGAAAGAAUAAUCCCUUGAGUGAUGGUGGUGAGAACAAUGUGGAAAUCUAGAGAGAGAAAUAGGUUUUGAAGCUGUAGUCCAAUGAGUAUAUGCAGAGGAGAUAUGUGACGUGGGUAUGGCAGAUAAUGGAGAGAAGGUGUUUUAGUGGUGUGGUCAGAUGGGUAUGAACAAACGAAGUGGUGAUAGAAUGAAUAGGAAAGCAUGCAUGUGGUUAGUAUGGGACAUGGGUAUGAAGGAGUGUGGGUAUCUAUGGAUGAUUGGGUAGAGUCUGUUAAAGGUGGGUCUGUGCAUGGGAUAAAAGAGAAAGGCGGGUCAGAACAGGGACUAUAUUUACAAUGGUGGGUAUGGUGUGGAAUCGGAAGUUGGAAGUUAGUGGAAUGAGUGGUAUGAAAUUCUAAAAGAUGCUUGAUGGGCAUUUUCGGUAUGAUGAUGAACCAUUCUGCAGCCUGACUUGUUGCCGACGUGAUUACUGCCAGUAUCUUGCCUCAGUGCCUCUGGGAUGCUAAAACUAGUGAAACCAGAAUAAAUACCCACAAUGCCCGAGUCACCAUUGAAUAGGAAAGCUUCUUUCAUAAAAUAUCCAUUCAUGCACAUUAUGUUUCCCUCAUUGGACCUUCAUUUCCACAACCAAAAACUCCAAAAUUUCCGCUACCGAAUCGCCAAUAAAGAGAGCCACUUCAACAGUAAAAUCAUUAGAUCUGAGAUACCCCGUGUCAAAUCCUGAAGUAAUAUCCUCACAUCUCUUGGUUGAGUUUAGGUAGUUCUUCAAGCGGAGAACAUAUUGCUUACUCCCCUAGGCAGAGGUGAGAAAACUAACAUGCCCCAUGGUCGGAGUACCAGGAACAAAGGAAAACAAACAAACAAAGCACCAAUAAUAGGAGCAAAACAAACUCAUACAAGUCUCAUUUCAUACAAUAAUCAAUGAGCUCAUAUCAGGGUGGAUGAAAUCAAACGAGCAUCAAAUAAAAGAUGGAACACGGUUACAGGAAUGUUUCAUGAAGAAAUCAAAACAGGAGCAAACCAAACUACAGGAAAAUCAUUAGCAAAACAUGAACAUGCCCACCCCCAAUCAAUAAACAUCAUCCAAAAUCAACAGAAACAGAACAGAAAAGUAUACCAGUAGAAGCUAAUAGGGAAACCACAAUGACAGUACCUGAAAAUGCUUCUCUUCAGCAACAAAUCUCUAGAAUCUCUGUCAAAACCAUGCUCUCUCGUUCUUCUCCAGAAACUUCCUCUGUUUCUUUUGCUCCUUCUCUCUAAAGCUCUCUGCUCCAGCUUGCUCCUCCUCUCUCCCCCCAGAAAACUCCUCUGUUUUUCUCCUCUUCCUCAAAAGCACUCUGGAAUCCUCUCUAUCCCCCUCCACCAAGCAAAGGAUCCUCCCAAAAUAUCUCCAGGCCGCUCCUAACGGCCUCACACAGCUGCCCUUCUCCCCUGCCGCUGCCAGACGACACCUCCCCAUAACAGAAAACCUUUUUCCCUUCUAGAAGAUUCUUUCCCUUUACAGGUGUCUUCCCUUGAUUAGUCCAUCAAUUCCACUAUAGUGAUCCCAUAUUGACUAAUCCGGGAGUGACAUGUGGCCAGAAUGAGCUGCAUGAAAUAGCACCCAAAUAGGGGUCUAUAGUAAGAUUCUAACCCCUAGUUUAAUAUUUUAGAUUCAUUGAUUAAUUUCAAACACAUUAGAUAUAUUUUUUUUGGAAAACCCCAAAUCUAGAUUAGGGUUAGAUUAUUUUUUAAUUCGUUUUAAUAUCAAAUAGUGAAAAUUUAAUAUUUUGAUUUUAGCAUUGGAAUUUGGGAGAUCUUAAGUUUUAUUAGAAAAAAAAAAAUUCUUGGAAUAUUUCGAUUUUAGGUUAGGGUUAAUUAAAAAAAAAAAAAAGAAAAAAAAAAACGCGUGUGCACAGCGCUGGAAGGAAGAAAAAUAAAAAUAAAAAAUGGGGGGCGUACCGUGUACUGUGUUACUGGAAGCAUGGAACCAAGAAAAAAGAAAAAAAAAAAAACAAAAAAAACAAAAGGUGCGUGUGCCAGCCUGCCAAGAAGCCCCUUAUAUAUAUAUAUAUAUAUAUAUAUAUAUAAUGAAUAUGAUGAUGGCAAUGGAAAAAAAAAAACUUGCUUUUUGGUUUGGUGGUUUGGUGUACCCGAGACAACUAGGUAAUGGUUUAGUGGCUUUUGAAUUGGUUAAUUUAAAAUAAUAAUAUUUAGUUUUAGAUUAAUGAAUAAGAUAAUAGUAAUAAUGGUUUUUUUUUUUUUAAAUAGAAUGAGAGAUUUAGCAAAAUAUAUAUAUAUAUAUAUAUAUAGAAUUUUAUAAUGAAAUAAAAUUGUAAUUUAAUUAAAUUAGUAAUGUGUUAUUAGAAACAAAUUGGGAAUUUAUUAGUUUUAUUUAAAUAAGGAAUGAAUUAGUUAAAUUAUAAAUAAAUAGUAAUAAUUGUUUCUCUUAUGUUAUAUUAGGUGAAGAGUAGAUUAUAUUUUUUUCAGAAUUAUUCUUCUCCCAAGCUUUCAAGGACAUCUUUUGAGGUAAGGGAAGUUAAUGCAAUAUUUAUAAAAUUAAAUUAUUUCAUAUGUUAUUUUGAAUUGUGGAAAAGAAAAUGAUAUUUUGUUACCAUGCAUGGAUCAAAUUGUUUUGCACUAAAUGUUAUGUUGGAAUAUUUUGUUUUAUUUAUGACACAAAAUGUGGAGAUAUUAUGUUGUGUAAAUUUGAAUACUCGAACAAAAACAUUACUCUGGUUUAUUUGGCCCUUGUCAACGGGAUAUAAUAGUUGACUAUUCGGCCCUGUCAACGGGAUAUAAUAGUUGACCUUUACAUUUCAUGGUGGAAAUGUAAUUGAUUUGGACCCCAACCUCUAGGGGUUUGGUUAGAGGUUACUAGUACUAGUAGUGUUUGGUUCCGUCCACCAGGAACAAUUUGAGGCUAGCCACCCAUUUGAAAAGUCCCACCUAAUUGGGCAUUUGAUAUUUGAUAACCAGAGUAAUGAAACUUGAAUGAAUUUGAUAUGAAAUUGGUUGGUUGAAUUUUGAAUAUAUUGGUAUUUUUGGAACUCUGAUAUUUGAUGAGAGAAAAAAAAAUUGAUAUCUCCUAUUUGAAAUGAAAAUAUUUGAUCCAUGAAUUGCAUUAAUAUUCCUUAUUAGGCUGUGAGCUCAUUCCCAAUUGUUGAAAAGUUUUCAGGUACUCUUAGUUCGGGUGAGGAGUGAUGGCUAGGCUGAGGAAUGGUCAUCAUUAGGAUUUGACUUAGGAUUUUAUGUUGGAUUUUGUUUAACUAUUAGUUAUGUUUAUUUGGAUCUUUUGGUAUUUGGAAGUUAUUUGGAAAUUGAAUUUUGAGGAUUUUAGAUUUUGUUUCGCUACUCUGAACAGGUAUUUGGUAAUUGGUAACAUCCAGUUACAAUAUGAUUGUUUGGGUCAGAUUAUACUUUAAGCCUUCGGGUUUGAGGUGUGAAAUGACCGUCACGCCCUUGGAGUGGGUCUUGGGGCGUGACAGUCAAAGUUGAAUGAAAAUUAUUCCACAUGAUACAGAGCAUAGCAUAGACUUGGUCCCCCUGUCAUCGUAUCUCCAUAUCCAGGACAAUUUGAUUACUUAUCCCGGAAGUAUCAUCCAGAAGACUCCAGGGUUUAUCACCAAUACAUCACAUGCACCCAUAAUUUUCUUCGGCGGACGUAGGCAGAACAGGUUUAUCAUCUCUGUAUGCAUGAUUUUCUUCGACAACCGCGUAGUUGGAGGUCUUUUUUUAAGUCUUCUUUCACUUCUAUAUAAGAACAGAGCAUCACAUGGUUAUCAAAACACCAUUCUCUACCUCUCUCUCAGACCAUGAAACUCCACUGCUCAUGGAUGGUGGUACUGGCCACACUAUGUGUAGCUCCGCUGUGCUUCGCGAUGGAGCCCGUCUCCGAGUCGGAUAAACUCGGAAGCUUGCCUGGACAACCACAUGUCAGCUUCCAACAGUUUGGUGGAUACGUAACCAUUGAUGAAAAGCAAGGCAGAGCUCUUUUUUACUACUUUGUUGAAGCAGUAACUGAUCCUACUGCCUCAAAGCCUCUUGUUCUCUGGUUAACUGGAGGUAAUUAGUAUCAAAUUCUUCUUCUCUGGCAUCUUAUUAAGGUAAGUAGAUAAAGUUAGAAUCAUUUCAUUCUUGGUCUCUGAGUAGUGGAAUUUAUUUUGUAGGACCUGGUUGUUCGUCCCUAGGAGGGGGGGCUUUCAUGGAACAUGGCCCUUUUAGGCCCCGCGGGAACACUCUGUUCAGGAAUAAGCAUAGCUGGAACAGAGGUGUGUUGUAGAUUUUGGACAAAGUUGUUUUCAAUUUCAAUCAAGUGUGAUAGAAUUUAUUAGUAUUUAGGGCACUUUGCUCAAUUUUUCUCGACUAUGAUAUUAAUUAAAUUACUAAAAUGAUGAAAUUUACCUCUGAAAUUCUUCUGUCACAGAGGCAAAUAUGUUGUAUGUGGAGUCACCAGCUGGAGUUGGGUUUUCUUAUUCUCGUAAUAAGUCCUUCUAUGAUGAUAUAAAUGAUGAAGUCACAGGUUCAUUUUUUAUCCCCUUUUGUCAAUGAUUUCAACUAAAGUUGCUUAACAUUUGUCUUCAAACGUACUGAUAUUUGGAUGUUUUUCUUAAGCACGAGACAAUCUCGCAUUCUUGGAGGGCUGGUUCAUGAAAUUUCCGAAGUACAGGAACAGAGAAUUAUUCAUUACAGGGGAGAGUUAUGCAGGUAAUUUUAGUGAAGACCUGUUAUUCAGGUUAAGACAAUCAUUUGAAUUCAUGGUGGAUUCAUCAAUUUUUAUUUUCUCUUCCUAUUUUAAUUGAAGGUCUCCUUUUAAUUUUAUGUUAGGUCACUACGUUCCGCAACUUGCACAGCUCGUUAUUAAUUCCGGCAAGAAUUUCAAUUUGAAAGGAAUCCUUGUGAGUAGAGGAAAAAGAAAAUUUGCAUUAAGUACACAUUCUUAAAAUAAAUGGUUGGGCUAAAACUGAUAAUUGAGCUCGAUUUGAUGGCUGAAUGCAGAUUGGAAAUCCUCUUCUAGAAUUCGAUACUGAUAUAAAUGCCCAAGGAGACUUUUUCUGGUCCCAUGGAUUGAUUUCAGAUUCUACACAUGCACUUCUCACGUCCACCUGCAACUAUUCCCAAAUUAUGCGAUGGGUUUAUAAUAUCAGCGAGUCUCUGUCGCCCGAGUGUUACGAGGUAUAUAACAAAUCUGCGGGAGAAAUUGGUGGAUCAGUUGACCCAUUUGAUGUUCUUGGGGACAUAUGUUUAUCAUCGGUAAGGUUUCAUUUCUUCAAUCCAGUUGGUGGGCAGAGGGAAGGAGAAAAAAAAAGACUUGUUUGUACUUGACUUUGAUGGUAAUAUUUGGGUUUGACUCAUGCAGGAAGAGGUCUGCCUAACAGAUGAAGUGGACGUGUAUCUAAACAGGAAAGAUGUGCAGAAGUCUCUCCAUGCCCAGCUUGUGGGCACGCCCAACUGGACUUUAUGCUAUCCGUAAGGAUUCCACACAUUUCCAAUUUACUCUAUGGACGGGUUUACUUUAUUUAAGGGGAAAGGAAAGGAAGGGAAUCAUUCCAUUUCCUCUCUCCUCAUCCGUGGGAAAUCGAUUUCGAUUCCGGAUUUCUUGGAUCUGUUGUUUUAACAUUGUUCUGUAUUGCAGGGAUAGUGCCCACUUCUUGAGAGACGCUGUGAUUCCAUCUAUUAAUGUUGUGGAAUGGCUUGUUUGGUCUGGGAUCCGCGCCUCUGUUUACAGGUAGGUUCCAUUCGUCUGAUGAUAUGACAUCUGGAAAUGUUGGGUUUUUAUUUACAAUUACGAAAAUAACAAUUAAAAUUGCAGCGGAGAUCAAGAUUCAAGGAUCUCCCUAAUUGGAACCAGGUCUUUACUGGAGGGAUUGGCAAAGAAGCUGAAGCUGAAAACAACCGUGCCUUACAGAAAUUGGUUCGAGAAGAAACAGGUUCACAUAUGAUCAUUCCACAUACUAAUUGAAAUUGAAGGUGAGACAAAUUAAAAAUAAGUGACCGUAAUGACCAUGUUUUCCACUUUUCCUUUCUUCUUCAGGUGGGUGGGUGGACGCAAGUGUACGGUGAUAUCCUAUCUUUUGCGACCAUCAGAGGAGGUUCUCACACAGCACCCAUAUCACAACCGACGAGAUCACUGGCGCUGUUUACGGCAUUUCUAGAAGGAAAGCCCCUCCCAGAUGCAUGAAACUCAUCAAUUUCAUGGUUGAAUAAAUAAGUUGGAGGGGAGGGUGUUUUAUCUCGCCAGCAAAUGUCACAUCCUCUGUGUAUGGAUGUGUUCCAUUUAUAUACAUAUAGUGGAAAAAUAAUUGUAUCAUGUAAUUUGAAUUUGGGUGUAAAAGUUUUAAUAGUCUACACGAAGGUGCAAAAAUUUGUGAUUUAGUCAUUUUUUAAUAAUAAAAGAAGUAAUGAUUUUUUUUUUUACUAUGAAAAUAAUAAAUUUAAAUCAUUGGUGGGAUGCAAGUUAAUUUAAUUUUUCAUUUAUUUUUUACUUGCAUGAUUCACUUAUUGAGGAGAAUAAAAGGAAAAAUUACUCAGUUAUGCAUGAUUUUCGUAUUUCAUACCUUUGAAAUAUUACAAUUUUUUAUUUUUAUUUUUUCUGAUAACCAAAACCAUAGACAUAAAAAAAAAUAAAACUAAAAUUUUAAUGUAAUUUGACACUCAAUAUAAUAUCUACAUCUAUAAAGUGCAUCAACACUUCAAAAUUCACUAAUCAAAAGAAAAGUUACAACUUAAAACAACAUUUCAAUUGCGGUUGCAUUUACUAAAAAAACCCUAAAAAUUGAUACGAUUUAGUCACUAUCAUUUUUUCAAGUAAUAAAAAUUAUACGAUAUAAUUAUUCUUGUUUUGUAUGUAGGAAAGAAAAUACAAUUUAGUUAUUAUUACUGAAAAUUUUGUGGAAAUAUUAUGUAGUUUAGUUAUUAUUUUUUGAAAAAUAGUAAAAAAAAAAAAGGAAAUAUUUAUUUAAAUAAAAUUUUGAUGAAGUCUAUUCUUCUUGUAUUUUCCAUUUUUUAAAAUUCUUUUAUAUAUUUAUUAAUUAUGAAUCUCCUUUUCCCCUUUAAAAACCUUUCAAAGAACUUUAAAGAUCUUGGAGAAAUUUGAAAACCUUCUAACAAAGGAUUUGAACCUCCCGUGGUCCUCUUCUCUUAAUUGAGAAUUUAGGAUUUCCCUAGUUCAUAAAGAUUGAGGGGAUUUUCUAUUGUCUUAGGUUAUGUUUGGUUCUUAGAAGGUUUAAAAACAAAUACAAGAGAAAAAAAAAAAAUGAAAGAUAGAAGAAAAUGUAAGAAAACAGAGUAGAACAGAGUGUUUUUGGAAUCUGGAAAUCUGGUGUGUAUUCCAUUAAUCAACUUAAAGGAAGAAGAUGCAUAUAUACAAAGUAUUGGUUAGCCUAUUCUAGGAAUCUAUGUGCAAAUGUAUCAGUUACAAUCAAUCAAAAAUAAUCUUCUAUAUACAAUCAAAUAUCAUCCUCAAAUUACGGGAUCCUUGAUUCCUUUCCCAUAAUACUCUCCCUCAAGUUGGAGUGUGUAUGUCAAGAACGCCAAACUUGUUGAGAAGGGAAUGAAAAAUUGAUGAAUUGAGUGGCUUAGUGAACAAAUCAGCAAGCUGGCAAGACGAUGGAACAUGAGCAGUUACUAUGGCACCUGAUUGAAUUCGUUCUCGAACAACAUGACAAUUGAUUUCUAUAUGCUUGGUACGUUCAUGGUGAACUGGAUUAGCAGCAAUAUGGAGUGCUGCUUUACUAUCACAGAAUAGUUUGGCAGGUUGUGAGUGUUCUACCUUCAAGUCAUCCAACAAAUACUUGAGCCAUGUAAGUUCACAUGUAAUGGAAGCCAUUGCUCGAUAUUCUGAUUCAACUGAUGACCUUGACACUGUUGUAUGUUUCUUGGUUUUCCAUGAAAUGAGAGUUCCUCCAAGAAAAAUACAAUAUCUAGUCACAGAUCGUCUUGUGAUCGAACAUCGAGCCCAAUUUGCAUCACAAAAUCCUCUUAGUAGCAAAUUUCCUUUUGCAGGAAAAUAUAAUCCUUGUCCAGGUGCACCUUUAAGAUAUCGCAGAAGAUGAUGAACAACAUCCAAAUGAGGCUUUCUUGGUUCUUGCAUAAACUGGCUUAAAAUGUGAACUGAAUAACUUAUCUCUGGCCUUGUAAUGGUAAGAUAAAUGAGUUGUUCGACCAAUCUUCUGUAAGUGGAUGGAUUCUUCAAUAAAUCUCCUACUGUGGGCAGGAGUUUAUUAUUUUCUUCCAUAGGUGUCGACAAUGGUUUGGCCCCAAGCAAGCCUGCUUCAUCUAAAAUAUCAAGAGUGUAUUUUCGUUGGGAUAUUGAAAUACCAUCAGUAGAACGAGCAACUUCAAUACCAAGGAAAUAUCGUAAUUGACUGAGGUCCUUGAUGCGAAAUUUGGUGUGGAGAGACUCCUUAAGAGCUGUAAUUACAUUCUCAUCAUUGCUAGUGAUGAUCAUGUCAUCUACAUAGAUGAGCACAGCUGUGAAAGAAUUACCAGAGAUCUUUGUGAAAAGUGAAUAAUCAACCCUUGAUUGAUAGAAACCAUCUUGUUGAAUGGUGGCAGAAAAUUUCUAAAACCAUCUACGGGAGGCUUGUUUAAGUCCAUAUAAUGACUUGUUGAGUCGACAUACCAUAGGUGUCUCCCCUUGUCGACGAAAUCCAGGCGGCAAUUGCAUAUAGACUUCUUCAAGUAAAUCACCAUGGAGAAAGGCAUUUUGAACAUCCAUUUGGUGAAGUGACCAAUGUUGGACAACAGCUAUAGCAAGUAAACAUCGAACUGUAGUUAACUUAGCCACAGGAGAAAAGGUCUCCUUAUAGUCAAUCCCUUCGCGUUGAGUGAAGCCUUUCGCCACCAACCGAGCUUUGUAUCGCUCAACUGUGCCAUCAGAGUUAUAUUUGAUCUUAUACACCCAUUUGCACCCAAUUGGACGAUGACCGAAAGGGAGAGGUGUGAGUGUCCAAGUGUGAUUUUGUUCAAGAGCAUGGAGUUCUGCAACCAUAGCUUACUGCCAUUUUGGAUCCAAUACUGCCUGUUCAUAAGUUGUAGGUUCCACAAGAGUGGUGAUGGCACAAACAAAAUUCUGAUAUUUUGGUGAGAGUUGUGCAUAAGAAAUAUACCGAGUCAAAGGGUGACACGUACCUGACAAGAAAGAAGAUUGGUUGGAAGCAACCUUGGCGGUGUGGUAGAGAUGAAAAUUCCGGAGUUGGACAUUUGGUUGCUUGAUGCGGUCAGAACGACGAGUAAUAGGAGGUGGAGGUGACACAAUGGUGUCAAGAUCAAGUGUACGUUCAUUAGAGAUAGACUCAAGAGAUGAAAGCAAGGGUGUUGGCUAAUCAUCGGCUUGUGGUUUGGUUGUCUCUGUGGUUAUGGGUUCAUAUGAGGUUUGUGGUAAAGGGAGAAUGACCACAUCAUUUUGUUCUUCUUGUGGAUUAGUGUGGAACGGAAAUAUGUGUUCAUGAAAGACAACAUCUCAGGAAGAAAAGAAUUUAUUAGUUUCAAGAUCAUAAACCCGAUAACCCUUUUGACCAAGAGGAUAACCAACAAAUAUGCAACGAUGAGCUCUUUGAUCAAAUUUAUGUGUGGGAAAGAGAUUGGUGGCAUAACAAAGACAUCCAAAAGUUCGUAGAUGAUGAUAUGAAGGUAGCUUGUUAUAGAGAAGUUGGUAUGGUGAUUUGUGAGAAAGAAGGGGUGUAGGUAAGAGAUUGAUUAAAUAGCAAGCCGUUUGAAUACUUUCCCCCUAAAAUUUUAACGGCAAGUUUGCUUGAAAACGAAGAGCUCUUCCCACAUUUAAAAGGUGAUGAUGUUUCCUCUCAACCCCCCUAUUUUGUUGUGGGGUGUAAGCACAUGAAUGAUGGUAAUUGAUCCCCUUAGUAUCCAAAUACUGUUUCAUAGAGGAAAUUUCAGUCCCAUUAUCGGUUCGAAGAGUUUUAAUGCAACGAUUAAAUUGGGUUUCCACCCAAGAAAUGAAAGAUUGCAAUAUCCUUUGUGUUUCAGAUUUAAAACUCAUGAGAUGUAUCCAAGUAUAUCGAGUAUGAUCAUCAACAAUUGUUAGGAAAUAACGAGCCCUAGAGUGAGAAUUUAUUCGAUGUGGUCCCCAAAUAUCACAAUGUAUCAAAUCAAAAGGUGCGUGAGAAGAAAUGAAACUAGAUGGAAAUGACAAACGAGUUUGUUUGGCUAAAGGGCAAAUAUCACAAACAUGCUUGGAAUCAAAAUAAAUUUCAGGAUUAAGUUUAGCAAGAACUUGAAGAGGACCGGAUGAUGGGUGCCCAAGAUGUUGAUGCCAAAGAUCAAAAUGUUUGUCAAUGGCGUAAGCCAAGGCUGGAUUUUGGUCUUGUGCGAGAUAGUAGAGGCCAUUAUGUUGCUUGCCCAGGCCAAUCGUCUUCCUCAUAGUAGCGUCCUGCACAACACAAAAAUCGGAAAAGAACAUCACUAUACAUUGUAAUGCCCACGUUAGUUUACUAACUGAUAGUAAAUUAACUUGAAAUUGUGGAAAUUUGAGCACGUCAUCAAGUUUAAUGUGGGGGGUAACAUGCAAUGAACCAAUUGACUCAAUAUGUGCUUGACCAGCAUCUAGCAAACUAAUGGUAGUGGUUUUGGGCAAAAUUUUCGGAUCUAAUAAUUCAGCUGAGGAAGUCACAUGAUCCGUGGCUCCACUAUCAAUAAUCCAACACAUAUUUGAGUGUGGGCAAUUCGGAAUAAUUUUGGAUGAUGGCAUAUUUAUACCUGUGGCAUUUGCAAAAUGUUGUGAAUUACCACCAUUGUUUUUUCGAAUCAUAGCCAUCAAUUGGUUAUAUUCCUCAGUUGUGAGCCUUGGUCCAUCAUUUUUUGGAAGAAGUUUUGCUUCUAUCUCCACAGCCUUAUUUGUUUCCACUUUCACAUUGUUUGCAUUUGAGUGACGUUGAUUGGGAGGCUUCAUGUUCUUCCCAUGAAGCUUGUGGCCAAUCGGAAAGCCAUGUAGGUAGUAACACUUCUCAAUGCUGUGAUAAUCACGGUCACAAUAAGAGCAGUGCAGUGGAGUCUUUUGUUUUUGAACUUGGUGUGCUGAAGUCGCCUUAUUGUCCCGAUCUGCAAGCAUGGCAUAAUGGUUCUUGUUCCCAUUAUUGAGAGAAACUUCAACCUGUUUUUCUUGUUGAAGGACAAGUGAGUAAACUCGGCGUGUAUCGGGUAGAGGUUGCAUCAAUAAGAUUUGUCCACGAAUGGCAGCAUAACUAUCAUUCAAUCCCAUGAGAAAUUGCAUAACUCUCUCUUUUUCAUCCCUUUCCUUAAGUUUCUCUAAUCCUCCACAAGAGCAGGAUAACACUUCAUGAUAGGAUGAAAGUUCAUCCUAAAAAGCUUUAAGCUUUGUGUAAUAAACCGAAAUUGAUUGCUGCCCCUGCCUAUGUUCCACAAUAUCUCGCUUGAUCUGAUAAAUUCUUGAAUCGUUUCCUUGCGAAAAACGUUCUCGCAGAUCUGCCCAGAUUUCUGAUGCUGUUUCGGCAUAAAUCACACUACUGGCUAUGUCUGGAUGAAUGGAAUUCAAUAACCAUGAGAUCACCAUAUUAUUGCAAUGUUGCCAAGAAGGAAAACUAUCAUCAGUCGAAGAGGGUGGCUUAAUGGAACCUGUGACGAAUCCAAUUUUGUCUUUAGCACUCAAACUAAUCCUCAUAGCCCGACUCCAUGUGUUGUAGUUAUCUCCUUCAAGUACUUUGGAGACAAGUACCAUACCCGGGUGGUCCAAGUGGUGUAGAGAGAAGCGAUCUAAAGCUUCUGUGGUAGCCUUAGAUGAUGUCAAUCCCGUUUUGUUGAUGUCCAUGGCAGCUAUAACAAGGAAAUAAGUUGCGGAAGCGCUUGGAAGAAUUUAGAGUCACCAGGUUUGGUGCUCUGAUACCAUGUAAGAAAACAGAGCAGAACAGAGUGUUUUUGGAAUCUGGAAAUCUGGUGUGUAUUCCAUUAAUCAACUUAAGGGAAGAAGAUGCAUAUAUACAAAGUAUUGGUUAGCCUAUUCUAGGAAUCUAUGUGCAAACGUAUCAGUUACAAUCAAUAAAAAAUAAUCUUCUAUAUACAAUCAAAUAUCAUCCUCAAAUUACUGGAUCCUUGAUUCCUUUCCCAUAAUAGAAAAGAAAAAAAAAAUUAAAUUUAAAAUAAAUAAAUUAUUAUUAUAUAUUACUUCAAACUUUUUUCAUAAAUUUAACUCUUCUAUUCUUAAUAAUUUUAAUGAUUUUUAACUUUCUUUUGCAUUUUAUAGUAAAAUCAAAUAUGAGAAAAUAAUUUUAUUUAACAUUUUUUUUUUCUUUUUCUACUGUUUUGAAAAACCAAACAUAACCUUAAAAUUUAAAUUUAUUUCUCAAAAUUGAUAAUUAUUAUUUUAGUUAUUAAUUUAAUAUUUUUAUCUAUUCUAAUCCUCUAAUUUUAAUUGUUCAAAAUCUAUUUCUUAAUUUAUGUUUCUUAAUUUAUGGACCCAUACAAUAUUAUUUUAUUUAUCAAAAACUCGUCUUGUCAACAUAAGCUUAAAUAACUUUUUUUUUCUAUAAUAAAAACAUAUUAUUUCAGAAUGAUGUUUUAUGUGUUAUUACUUUAAAUAAAAUUUCUACUACUAACCACGUAAUAAGCAAAUAAUUAGGGUUAAUUAAAAAUAAUUUUAUUUAUUAAAUAUAUAAAAAUUUAUAUUUACUAAUCAAGUAUAAGAUCAUAAAAAUGAAAUAAUUAAAAUUUUUAAAAUGUCAAACACUUUGUAGUAUUAAAAAUUUUCAAAUAUUAUAAUGGUUAAAAACGGUUUCUAAAAUGACCAUAAAAUGGAAUCUAAAUCUAUUUUAUGAAAGUCCUACAAUAUAAACAAAAUAUAUAAAAGAAAAAUAAUACAAAACAAAAUUUUUAUUAAAAUUAAUAAAUUAUGUGAUACAAUCUUUGUAAUAAUAUUUUUUUGUAAAAGAAUAUAUUUCUCUAAUUCUUUUAACUUGAUCAUAACUUGAAAGAUGACAAUGAAAAUGUUUCUUUGAUCUGAGAGAACAAUCAAUGAUCAUUAAUAACUUGAUUUGGAAUGAACUCGUUUAAAAGCAAAGAUCGCAUAUGAAAUACUUAUGUCAUCUCUUUAACUUGCAAGGAGAUUUCAUUAAGGAAAUUUGUUAAUAAAAAAAUAUUUAUUUAUUUUCAUUAAAAUACUUGUUCAAUUUUAAUAUAGUAUUUUCCCAUAUAUUACCUUUUUAAUACAUGUGACGUUUCAAAAUAGUACUUAUUAUUAAUCCCAAAUUUUAUCCAAAGCCACGUUUUUUUUUAACAUCUUUUUAAUAAUAAUUUAUUUCACCGAAAAUUUGGAUCUAUGACAACUUUCUUCCUUCAAAUUAGAUUCCUUUCUCCUCGGGAUCUGAAUACACGAUGGGACGUGUCUUUUAAAUAGUACAACCAGGAACGUGUCGACUGAAAUUGUAUGCUUGGAUCAGUGAGUUUCUUUUCUCACUGGAAAGUAGAAGGAGGACAACCUUGGCGUCACUCAUGACGUCCAAAGAAACACCACUCCAACUAUAUCUGCGUUCAUACAAGGUACCUUUUUCAACGCAUGGAAAUUGUGCCCUUCCUAUAAUAAAUUGGAGAAUCAAGCUGUCUCCAUAGCUUCUCUUUCUCUCUCGGCAACCAUGCAAACCCAGUCUUGGAUGAUGAUCCUGGCUGCAGUAUGCGCAGCUCUGGUUCACUUCUGUUCAUCAGCAGUGGAGUCCCACUCUGCCCAGGCUGAUCAAAUCAGUAGUUUGCCGGGACAACCCCGAGUCAGCUUUCAACAAUUUUCGGGAUACAUAACCAUAGAUGAAAAGCAGGACAGAUCUUUCUUUUACUACUUUGUUGAAGCGGAAAAUGACACAACUACUUUGAAGCCUCUGGUUGUCUGGUUCAGUGGAGGUAAAAUUUAUGCUUUAAAUUAACUGUAGCUGCUAAAGUUAGAAUCAUUUCUGAGUUUUUAACAGAUCUAGCAUUAAUUUUAUCUUUUUCCUUAUAUAGGACCUGGUUGCUCCUCCGUGGGAGGUGGAGCUUUCGCCCAACAUGGCCCUUUUAGACCCAGUGGAGAUAUCCUACUCACCAAUAAAUACAGUUGGAACAGAGGCACGCCACAAAAUACUUUUCUCUCCUUUUUUAUUUUGUAGGAGGGUGCUACUUGGCUGUAGUCAUGGAAAGGAAAAUGACCCCAAAAGGGGCCGUAGUCAAGUAAUGAACUUCAUAUUUUUUUAUUUCUUUAUGUUACAGAAGCAAACAUGUUAUAUCCGGAGUCACCUGCUGGAACUGGAUUCUCUUAUUCUGCUAAUACGUCCUUCUACACCAACCUAAAUGAUGAGAUUACAGGUUUUUUUUUCCUUUUAAAAUUUCAUCAAGAAUUUAACUAGCGGUUACUGAGAAUUGGUUUCAAUCUGAUACAUUUUUCUAACUGAU